UACACCAUAAACCAUGAGCUCUGUGCCCUC
rnacentral:piRNA from 1 species